rnacentral:lncRNA from 1 species
AAAAAGAGUGAAAACAAAAUAGUUUAAGAAAGCAAAGUGACAGUUCUUCUGAUAACUGCUUAAAAUAAAGGAAGUAAGACCAUGAAGAAUCAUACUGAUGAGCUGUUCUGCGUUGAAUUUUUAAAAAACGGCUAUUUUCAUAGCCACAA